AGCCAGGUGACUGCAAACUCUCCAUGGGCAUCAAGAAAAACAAGACUUCAAUUUCUUUGAACCCCUGUGUCAGGAGCUUGGCUGACUAUGAAAUACGGCAGCUUAGGAGUGGUGUGGUAGAAGGACAGCCCCCCUGCCCUGAGACAACACUCGAAGGCCUGUAUUCCAGCGAGAGUGCCCUGACAAGACAGUUCUGGCCACCCUUGCCUGGCCCCUCCACCUUCCCGUCAGUUUCAUGAGUUCUCCAGCCUUUUCCCAGAUGCUCAGAGGUUAUUUAGGAUCUGAGACUCUUGCUUGGGGGUCGUGAGUAGCUCCUGUACUUGCAGAAUGAAUUCUCGGUGGGAUCUUUGAUCAUUGACAGUUUACCAGUCCCAUGUGCAAGGGUUAUCAACAUCUGGAAAGCAAUUCUUCGAGGAAUAAGCUUCCAUGAAAUAAAUGGCCAUGUUAGAGAAGCUCAUGUGGCAAGGAACUGUCAGCAGUCUCUAAGAGCUGAGAGUAGACUCCAGCAAGAAACUGAAACCCUCAGUCUGACGGCCACAAGGAAAUAAAUUCUGCCAACAACCUGAAGAAGCUUGGAGCAGAACUUUCCUCAGUUGAGCCUCUGAUGAGACUGCAGCCCCAGCUGUCACCUGGAUAGCAGCUGGUGAAACCCUUCAGCAGAGAAACCAGCCAAGCUGUGUGUAAACUUCUGACCUGCAGAAACUAUAAUGAGUGUGUGUUAUUUAGAACUGCUAAGUUUGUGGUAGUUAAGCAGCAUAGGAAAUGAAUAUAGUAGGCCGGGAGUGGUGGCUCAUGCCUGUAAUCCCAGCACUUUGGGAGGCUGAGGCCAGCGGAUCACCUGAGGUCGGGAGUUCGAGACCAGCCUGGCCAACAUGGAGAAACCCUGUCUCUACUAAAAAUACAAAAUUAGCAUGGUGUGGUGGUGCAUGCCUGUAUUCCCAGCUACUUGGGAGGCUGAGGCAGGAGAAUUGCUUGAACCCAGAAGGUGGAGGUUGUGGUGAGCCAAGAUCGUGCCAUUGCACUCCAGACUAGCCAACAAGAGUGAAAAUCUGUCUCAAAAAGAAAA